UGAAUAUACGUGCUGUGAUGUCGUGUC
rnacentral:sRNA from 1 species